rnacentral:rRNA from 1 species
CCUACGGGUGGCAGCAGUAAGGGAUAUUGGUCAAUGGGGGAAACCCUGAACCAGCAACGCCGCGUGAGGGAAGACUGUUUUCUGAUUGUAAACCUCUGUCCUCAGUGAAGAUGAAGACGGUACCAGAGGAGGAAGCUCCGGCUAACUACGUGCCAGCAGCCCCGGUAAUACGUAGGGAGCGAGCGUUGUCCGGAUUUACUGGGCGUAAAGGGUGCGUAUGCGGCUUGGCAAGUCAGUAGUGAAAUCCUUGGGCUUAACCCAUGAACUGCUGUUGAAACUGGCGAGCUUGAGUGCAGUAGAGGUAGGCGGAAUUCCGGGUGUAGCGGUGAAAUGCGUAGAGAUCAGGAGGAACACCAGUGGCGAAGGCGGCUUACUGGGCUUUAACUGACGCUGAGGCACGAAAGCGUGGGUAGCAAACAGGAUUAGAUACCCCAGUAGUC